AUUGAACGCUGGCGGCAGGCUUAACACAUGCAAGUCGAGCGGGGUGAUGGUGCUUGCACUAUCACUUAGCGGCGGACGGGUGAGUAAUGCUUAGGAAUCUGCCUAUUAGUGGGGGACAACAUCCCGAAAGGGAUGCUAAUACCGCAUACGUCCUACGGGAGAAAGCAGGGGAUCACUUGUGACCUUGCGCUAAUAGAUGAGCCUAAGUCGGAUUAGCUAGUUGGUGGGGUAAAGGCCUACCAAGGCGACGAUCUGUAGCGGGUCUGAGAGGAUGAUCCGCCACACUGGGACUGAAACACGGCCCAGACUCCUACGGGAGGCAGCAGUGGGGAAUAUUGGACAAUGGGGGGAACCCUGAUCCAGCCAUGCCGCGUGUGUGAAGAAGGCCUUAUGGUUGUAAAGCACUUUAAGCGAGGAGGAGGCUCUUUUGGUUAAUACCCAAGAUGAGUGGACGUUACUCGCAGAAUAAGCACCGGCUAACUCUGUGCUAGCCGCCGCAGUAA
rnacentral:rRNA from 1 species